GGCUUCAUAGCUCAGUUGGUAGAGCAACGCACUAGUAAUGCGGAGGUCAUGGGUUCAAAUCCCGUUGACGAGUAAAAUGCCCA
rnacentral:tRNA from 1 species